AUAGCCCGGCCUUACUCCUUUUAAAAAUCCGCAAGGGUGGAGCCUAACCCUAAUCUGCAACAGUGAACUGACAGUUGCAUACCCUGUCUAGUAUACAGUAAGAACCUAUUUCCUUAUGAUGAAUUCGGAUGUAACGUGCCGCUGGAAACAAAAAAUGAAAGGAACAUAGUCCUAAAUCAGAGAGAAAGAACAAUGAGGACAGAGAUCAAAGUUGCUGCCUCCAGAGAGCAAAUGAUAGCAGCCUCUAAAAUGUGGAACGAAUAAGCAGAUUCUUCACCGGAGCUUUCAGAUGGAACCAGUCCUACUAGCACUUUGGAUUUAGAAUUUAAGUUAUUCUCGAAAAAGUAUGGAAGAAGAAGUUAUAUUGCAGGAUACUCCAGAACCAUUGCUGGGACCUGGAGGGGCUGGAAGCUGUUGCUAGAGAAGUCUGGAAACUUGCUGAGAAGUCUGGAAACUGCUGCUGACCCAUUGUCCUUGCUUCAGGCCAGGUGGCAGGGCAGCUUCUGAGGCCUGGACUUGCCUGGAUUUGCCCAGUUCUUGGAAACAGAGAUUUAGGCCUCAUCCCCUGAACUGCCAAUCUGAAGCUUGUCAUGGAAUCAGCCUAGCCUUCCCAUUAAUUUAAUGACAAUUCAUUUCAUUUUGAUCCUUGUUCUAGGAUAACAACAUAUUAAGGGAUAAUCCUUCUGGUCAAAAAAUUAAAAUACCUGG